rnacentral:rRNA from 1 species
GACGAACGCUGGCGGCGUGCUUAACACAUGCAAGUCGAACGGAAAGGCCUGCUUUCCCUUGUGGUUUGCGGGUACACGAGUGGCGAACGGGUGAGUAACACGUGAGUGAUCUGCCCCUAACUCGGGUAUAAGCGUGGGAAACUGGGACUAAUCCACGGUAGGACUGCAGGGUGGUGCCGGUGGUGGAAAAUGAUUUGCUAGUGGGUGGGGUUGAGCUCGCGGCCUAUCAGGCGGCUGGUGGGGUAAUGGCCUAUGAAGGCGGCGACGGGUAGUCGGACUGGGAGGGUGGACGGGAGCAUUGAGGCUGAGAUUCGGCCCGGGCUCCGGCGGGGGGCAGCAGUGGGGGAAGUAGUGGGGAAGACGGAAGCCUGAUGCAGCGACGCAUGGUGGGAGGUGGCGGGCUUGGGGUUGUAAUCUCCUUUCGACAGCGAGGAAGCCACCUGGUUGGAAGGGUGGUGACGGUAGUUGUAGAAGAAGCACCGGCUAACUACGUG